GCCAGUGGUUCAUAGACUAAAAGAACAAUGUUCAUUUUACUCAAACAUUUAGCUAUAAAAAGUAAAAUCAGAGAAAUUGGUCAUUUUGCAGUGGUCUCAGGGAUGUAUGUACCAUACUUGUAUAUUUUAUAUAUGUAUAUAGAUAGAGAGAUAAUUUUAUUGAAAAGUUCAUUUAUUUCAAGACUGUAUUCAUUGAAUGAAUCAUAUCGAUUAAUUCCGAACAGGCUGAUGUUUUCAAGUCUUUAUUUAAUCAUGACUUUAUAACAGCUGAUGAUAAAACAAAUUCUAAGAUUAACAUUUUCAAUACAUCAAUUUAGGCUUAAUAAAAGCUUGUUUAAAACCUGCUUAAAGAUUAAUUAAAAAAAUUAAUCACUUCAUCUGGGAAGUGAUUAAGAGUCAUUGUAAUGCACAUUCAAGUUUACUGAAUAUGACCGUCUGACCUGUGCAUGCAUCGGAGACACAUUAGUUUAACUAGAUGUUGUCUUUGAAGUUGGAAUAAAGACUCUCUCUCUGCAGCUCUGUGGAGUCACUGGAAGCCAUUUUGCUGUAAUUUAACAAUAAAAAGCCAAACAUAAGUGAGCAUUAGUUUCAGCUCUCCACCACAGCCCGAAUCUGUUUCCUAAUGUGGAUUUAACGAGACUGAAAGAACUGCAGGACUUGAGGCCCUGUGAGGCAGGAAUGCUCAUUAAACUUCCCAACAUCAAGUCAAAUGCUGGAUAGUAAACUCUGAAAUAACAAGAAAGAGAGUGAAAAUGAGGGGAUAUAAUUAGCUUUUCGAAGGCAUUUUAUGAUUAGCAAUGGGGUAAAAUUCAAAUUAAUGAAGAGAGUAAAGCAUGAAGCUGUGCAGUGUUUGGAUCAAGCUCUCUCAUCAUCACCUUUACUCUGAGUUACUGUUGUAUAGUUUUGUUUUAUUGUUUCCUGGUUGGUGAUAAUAGCUUUAGUUUUCAGACUUUCUCCUCACAUUUCCAAAGACUUAUUUUGUAUCACAGUAUGAAACUCUCACAAGGUUGUUGUUUAAAGGAAGAGAUCAGAAAUUCUUCUUGUCAGCAUAUCACGAACACUGACAUCUGAGACUCCACUGUGAAUUUUUCAUGACUCUGUUUUCGCUUGGUGCGUUGUAAAGUGAAAUGAGCUGCAAAUAUGCCUGGAAACUUGCUGCUGGAGUGAAAAUAAUCAAGAGCUCAAAUAAGAGGUUGCUAUUAUAGGCAUAAAACCUAUUCUCUGACCAUGUUCUCAGGGUUCUGAUCAUUAACUCUCCUGUGUUUGCACUUUCAAUGUUUUGCUAACAGGCCUUAAUCAUAAUGUCCUGCAAUUCAAUAAAAAUAAAGCUUAAACAAACUCAUUACUGGCAGGAAAAUUUCCACUAUUUUGGGGGUGUUUUCAUGAUAAAUUUGAACUGCUCUUUUCGCAGCACACUGAAAAUCCAACAUACAGCAAUUGAGCUCACAGAUUAGGCUAUACUGUUUUUUUUUUCAUCCACAAAGUGUCAAAGUUAUAUGCACAGACAGGCCCAAAUGCACAAUUGAAGCUAAAUAUUUUUAUACAUUGUGAGAAAGCAACUGUUUUCUCCUUACUGUCUGACUUACCAGUACCUAAAUUAUGUGUUUGGUAAAUAUCAGAAUAAUGAGUGGGAAAACAAUUCUCCAUACUAAGAUUAAAAAUAGGUGUUUUUAAAAAAGAUGAUGAUGUCUUGACUUUGCAAACAUCUGAUUUCUUAAGUGCUGUAAUAAGUGACUUUGAGUUCUCACAAACUGGAGGGAAAUAAAAAUGUCUGUGCCACAUCUC